rnacentral:lncRNA from 1 species
UCCUUCUUCGUUGAAGUGCUGUAGACAUCAGGACAUUAGUAAAGCAGAGCCUCUCCCUACCCAGGAAAGCACAGUCCUAUGUGGCACAGACAAGGAGAUAACCAACCACAUAAUUAGCUGUAAGUAAUCAGAACCUGGGACAGUAGAAAUGUGCCAUAUGUGAUAUCAGCGAACUCAAGAGUCUCUUCUCACAUAUGCUUUCAUGCCAAUGUUACUAAGUCAUGUUCUACAAGUGCCCUGACUCCCUUUGUAUUCUGCAUAGAUGGAAAUUCCAUGGAACUGAGUUGUCCAGGAGAUUACUAAUAAAGCUGCAUUAUAUCAAAUCAUCGCAACUCAAACCCAGUAGCUCCUGUUCAAGUCAAGGCGACUGAUGUCCUGGCCAGUCUCUCAUAUGAUAGGGCUCUACACCAAUCUUUGCUAGAAGUCAGAUGGAAGAGGAAGCCAGUGUAGCAAUCUGCCACACUUACAUAGUGUUCUGAAGCACAGCCUUGGGGUGAGGGUGGGGGGCAUGAGCUCUGGAGACCAGGUAAGUGGGAGAUAAUGCUGCUUUAGCAUAGACAUCAGACCAGCAAUAUGUGCAUUUAACAAAGCUGUGCUGGGGGAAAGGGAGGCAAGGGAGCUAAAAAUGGGUAAAGAAAGGAUGUUAUCAAACAUAUCGGGGGGAAAUCAAACAGUUGAGGCAGAGCAAUGCCAACCUUCAUUGGAAAGGUGCUGCUAGAAUGUUGAAAAUUCUAAGAGAUAUUCUGUCUCAAACACCUUGUGCAUGGAAAGCCAUUCUAGCCUCAUUUAAAACCUUGAAAGAUACAAGUAAGAGCUUCACUUUACAAACAAACGAGGUGGAAUCAGAGAAAUUCAGAGAUGAUGAAAAUUUACAGGACUUGGUAGAUAUAGAGCUAUGUGACAAGACCUCGUGGAACUGGAUCCAGAAUUGGCUCUGAGCUACAGUGUGGCACCGCUUAAAACACUGGCCAGUUGACCAGACCAGUGGGAAAAUAUCUGCCUUAAAGUUAAUAUCACACUUGUAGAUACUAGCAGGCUUGAAAGUCCCUGGGAAGGGUCCCUUCCUCAUAUUCAUAUUCUAGCUCUACUGCAUAUAUCCUUGGUGAUACAUUGAUUUUAGAAAGAGGGAAAUCACAAUUUCCCUUCCUUAGCUAUGUGAAAGGAAGGAGAAAUGGGCAAAGAUAAAUACUGCCCACUCCCUUAAGAGAUAAUCUUCCUUAAAAGGUAAUCUAAAUAUUUAUUCCUCUUAUUUUCCUCAUUUGUUAGUUUAUCCCUUUUCUUUUCUUUAUUUAUUUUAAUUAGAUGUUUUCUUUAUUUACAUUUCAAAUGUUAUCCCUCUUCCCAGUUUCCUCUCAGAAAAAUCCCCUAUUCCCCUCCCCACCACUCUGCUCCCCAACCCACCC